UACGGAGGGUGCAAGCGUUAAUCGGAAUUACUGGGCGUAAAGCGCGCGUAGGUGGUUUGUUAAGUUGGAUGUGAGAUCCCCGGGCUCAACCUGGGAACUGCAUCCAAAACUGGCAAGCUAGAGUAGGGCAGAGGGUGGUGGAAUUCCCAGUGUAGAGGUGAAAUUCGUAGAUAUUGGGAAGAACACCGGUGGCGAAGGCGGCGACCUGGUCCGAUACUGACGCUGAGG
rnacentral:rRNA from 1 species